rnacentral:rRNA from 1 species
UACGGAGGGAGCAAGCGUUAAUCGGAAUUAUUGGGCGUAAAGCGCACGCAGGCGGCUUGUUAAGUUAAAUGUGAAAUCCCCGGGCUCAACCUGGGAACUGCAUCUGAUACUGGCAAGCUUGAGUCUCGUAGAGGGGAGUAGAAUUCCAUGUGUAGCGGUGAAAUGCGUAGAGAUCUGGAGGAAUACCGGUGGCGAAGGCGGCCCCCUGGACAAAGACUGACGCUCAGGUGCGAAAGCGUGGGGAGCAAACAGG